GACGAACGCUGGCGGCGUGCUUAACACAUGCAAGUCGAACGGUAAGGCCCUUCGGGGUACACGAGUGGCGAACGGGUGAGUAACACGUGGGUAAUCUGCCCUGCACAUCGGGAUAAGCCUGGGAAACUGGGUCUAAUACCGAAUAGGACCACAGGACACAUGUCCUGUGGUGGAAAGCUUUUGCGGUGUGGGAUGGGCCCGCGGCCUAUCAGCUUGUUGGUGGGGUGAUGGCCUACCAAGGCGACGACGGGUAGCCGGCCUGAGAGGGUGUCCGGCCACCCUGGGACUGAGAUACGGCCCAGACUCCUACGGGAGGCAGCAGUGGGGAAUAUUGCACAAUGGGCGAAAGCCUGAUGCAGCGACGCCGCGUGGGGGAUGACGGCCUUCGGGUUGUAAACCUCUUUCACCAUCGACGAAGGUCCGGGUGUUCUCGGGCUGACGGUAGGUGGAGAAGAAGCACCGGCCAACUACGUG
rnacentral:rRNA from 1 species